CUGACACAGCAGGAUGGGCUGCACUGCAGGCCGCUAGAAAGGCUAAUGCUAGGCUACUACUCUGUAUGAAGGAAUGACAGCCAGAUUGGGAAUAUAGCCUUGCGUGCCGGUCUUCUAUAGGCUCAGAAUACACAAACCUAGAGAAUGGUGCUAAGAAAAUAGUGGCAGACUGUCUAUCACUGACCAGAUCAAGAGCAACCAGAACAUUUGGAGGAGCUCACACUACAUGGAAUCUCUUGUACUUCAGAUCCCCAUGUUGAGUGGUUAGAAGGAGGUGUGAUGCCCUCUCUCUUCCCCUGGGGUAGGAACUAUGUUUGCAACUAACCGUUAUAGAGCCAAAGUAGAGCUACAUCAUACCGAGCCACGCUGUGUCACCUCCCUGACAGGACAAUAAGGACACAGACAUACCUAUACACUGCCCUCACUUGGACUCUAAAGCAGAGGCGACACUGGUGGUAGAGGGAAAGAGAGAGUGAGAGAGAGAGCAAGCAGACAGAGAGCUGGUCUGGUCUGGGCGGUGACGUGCAGCUUUGACAGGCUUUUUGAACUAUGGAGAGGCCUUUAUAAAUGCUACAUAACAUGGGUUUGUGAGUCUACAUAGGACACACAGACAGAGACUGCUGGCUGCUACCCCCCUGCAGCACUAGACAGCAUCAGGCAGGAUAUGCAUGUCACAGAAUCAAUCAUUAAACACAAAGAGCAUUCUGUUCCCAGUGUUCUACUGAGCUGCUUUGCUUUGAUAGAGUAUGAAAAAAUAUAAACAGUGACUGUUUUGUUUCAAGGU
rnacentral:lncRNA from 1 species